UACAGAGGGUGCGAGCGUUAAUCGGAAUUACUGGGCGUAAAGCGUGCGCAGGCGGUUUUGUAAGCCAGAUGUGAAAUCCCCGGGCUCAACCUGGGAACUGCAUUUGGGACUGCAAGGCUAGAGUACGGCAGAGGGGGGUAGGAUUCCUGGUGUAGCAGUGAAAUGCGUAGAUAUCAGGAGGAAUACCGAUGGCGAAGGCAGCCCCCUGGGUCGAUACUGACGCUCAUGCACGAAAGCGUGGGGAGCAAACAGG
rnacentral:rRNA from 1 species